GAUGAACGCUAGCUACAGGCUUAACACAUGCAAGUCGAGGGGAAACGACAUCGAAAGCUUGCUUUUGAUGGGCGUCGACCGGCGCACGGGUGAGUAACGCGUAUCCAACCUGCCCAUCACUUGGGAAUAACCUUGCGAAAGUAAGACUAAUACCCAAUGACAUCCCACGAAGACAUCUGAAUGGGAUUAAAGAUUUAUCGGUGAUGGAUGGGGAUGCGUCUGAUUAGCUUGUUGGCGGGGUAACGGCCCACCAAGGCAACGAUCAGUAGGGGUUCUGAGAGGAAGGUCCCCCACAUUGGAACUGAGACACGGUCCAAACUCCUACGGGAGGCAGCAGUGAGGAAUAUUGGUCAAUGGGCGAGAGCCUGAACCAGCCAAGUAGCGUGCAGGAGGACGGCCCUAUGGGUUGUAAACUGCUUUUAUAAGGGAAUAAAGUGGGUCUCGGGAGACUUUUUGCAUGUACCUUAUGAAUAAGGACCGGCUAAUUCCGUG
rnacentral:rRNA from 1 species